CUUCAAAUAGUCCGACAGUUCAUUCUGCUGCUCGAAGGAGAGGCUGUGAAUGUUGACCUGUUUCACAAACUUUUCCCCUGCCGGAAGCUCCGGUAACCAUUCGUCCGUUACUUACAUAUCGGCUGGGUACCAUCGGACGAGCACUUCCGUCCCUUCGCUCGGUAUGUGGCGGCGGCUGAGCUGCAAUCCACGGAACGUUAUCGCUCCACCCGGUCCGCUUGCGAUGGUGGCAAGCCGUAUCAAGCGAUGCUGCAACCCUUCCAUCACACCGGAAUCGAAGAAAUCAAAACGGCGCGCUGCACGGAUGUACGGAAAACGGGAAACAUAACGAGCGAUUAGUGUUAAAGAUAUCUUUUCAGACGACGCUUUCGGGGCAGCAGCAGAGAGCAUUGGGAUGGGAGAAGCACGGCACGAAGCAGAGAGCCCAGAAGAAUAGGUUACUGCUGCUGCUGAUGCACACGUACCGAGGCGAACCGCAUUCUAACUGCAAAUGCACCGGAGAAGGACGUACCGUUUGACAUGGCCAGGAGACGACCGUCACCGGGCGAGGUGGUAUGAGUCACGUUACACGAGUCGAGUUUUAAGUGUGGUUGUUGAAACAUUUUAUUAGA